ensembl:lncRNA
GACUGAAGCGCCCGCAGGUGCCUGUGCCUGUGUAUCCCAACAAUAAACCAAAUCCUCUUGCUGAUUGCAUCCUGUGGUGUCUCGGUCUGGUCUUUGGAGUUGGAGGGUCUCCAUCCCGAGGGAAAGUUCUCCCUGAGAGCUUUUCAUUUGGUGCGUUGGCCGGGAAAGGAGAUCCUCCACCCAGGGACCACCGACCACCCACUGGGAGGUAAGCCGGCCGGCGUCUGUCUGUCUGUCUGUCUGAUUUUGUCUCGUUCUGCCUUAUUCUGUCUGUUCUGUGAGCGCUCAGCCAGGUCUGUUCUGUGAGCGCUCAGCCAGGUUGUUUGGAAUUUGGGCGGGACGAAGAAGGAGCUGACGAGCUCGGACUUCUCGCCCCGCAGCCCGGGAAGACGUUCCAAGGGUGUUAGGGGCCCGACUUUUCGGGGCCCAAUCUGGGAGAGGAGAAAGAUCCGGACUAACGGCACCUCUGUCUGUAUUUUUGGCUUUCAGAGGGCCCCGGACCUUUGCCACCUCCAUCUGACUUUUUGCUUUCAGUUUGGUACCAAAGCCGUGCAGCACGCCUGUCUGUUGUUUGUUUGACUGUUGGUGUUGUUUGUUUUCUCUGUGUUCUAAUCUUCCUUAGAACUAACAUGGGACAGUCCCUAACAACGCCCCUAAGUCUCACUCUUGAUCAUUAGAAAGACGUCCACGACCGGACACACAACCAGUCCGUCGAGGUUAAAAAAAGGAAAAUGACAGACUCUCUGCACAUCCGAGUGGCCCACUUUUGGAGCGGGAUGGCCAGUAAAUGGCACAUUUAAUAAGAUCAUUAUUUUACAGGUUAAAGAUCGGGUCGUCCACGGACAUCCUGACCAGGUUUCUUAUAUUAUCACUUGAGAGAGUCUCGCCUUAAAACCCUCCCCCUGGGCGGAACCCUUCGUGGACCCGAAUUGGCCUCCCCUCAACCCCCAGCCUGUCCCCUCGGC